CUGAAUAAUUAUAAGUUUUCAUUGAAUAAACUAGAACACGUAGUUACAUGGUUCAGAUAGUUUCAAAGAGAAUCAUCUAUAAUUCCUAAUCUAAUGAGAUUAGUUACUCAUAAUAAUAAUUGACAUAACAAAAGAGUUAAGAAAAUUAUACAUGAAUAACCGAUGAAGACCGCGACGACGAAACCCUUGAAUUUUCUUCUCUUCACUGCCGCUGCCGCACGUAUUUUUUUCUCCCCCAGAAGUUAUGCGUGAUUCUCCUCUGGUUUCUCCCAAGUCUGCGUUCCUUCCUGGUUUCUAGGUUAAAGAGAGCUGCUUUUUAUAUCCU
rnacentral:lncRNA from 1 species